rnacentral:piRNA from 1 species
UGGAAAAUGCUACCUGAAGCUGUCAUGAGA